rnacentral:rRNA from 1 species
CACGUAGGGUGCAAGCGUUGUCCGGAAUCAUUGGGCGUAAAGCGCGCGUAGGUGGCCAUUUAAGUCCGCUGUGAAAGUCAAAGGCUCAACCUUUGAAAGCCGGUGGAUACUGGAUGGCUAGAGUACGGAAGAGGCGAGUGGAAUUCCUGGUGUAGCGGUGGAAUGCGCAGAUAUCAGGAGGAACACCAAUAGCGAAGGCAGCUCGCUGGGACGUUACUGACACUGAGGCGCGAAAGCGUGGGGAGCGAACAGG